GAUGAACGCUGGCGGCGUGCCUAAUACAUGCAAGUCGAGCGAACAGAUAAGGAGCUUGCUCCUUUGACGUUAGCGGCGGACGGGUGAGUAACACGUGUAUAACCUACCUAUAAGACUGGAAUAACUCCGGGAAACCGGGGCUAAUCCCGGAUAACAUUCAGAACCGCAUGGUUCUAAAGUGAAUGAUGGUUUUGCUAUCUCUUAUAGAUGGACCCGCGCCGUAUUAGCUAGUUGGUACGGUAACGGCUUACCAAGGCAACGAUACGUAACCGACCUGAGAGGGUGAUCGGCCACACUGGAAGUGAGACACGGUCCAGACUCCUACGGGAGGCAGCAGUAGGGAAUCUUCCGCAAUGGGCGAAAGCCUGACGGAGCAACGCCGCGUGAGUGAUGAAGGUCUUCGGAUCGUAAAACUCUGUUAUUAGGGAAGAACAAAUGUGUAAGUAACUGUGCACGUCUUGACGGUACCUAAUCAGAAAGCCACGGCUAACUACGUG
rnacentral:rRNA from 1 species